CGAACGCUGGCGGCAGGCCUAAUACAUGCAAGUCGAACGGCUCUUCGGAGCAGUGGCGGACGGGUGAGUAACGCGUGGGAAUGUGCCCUUUGGUACGGAACAACACAGGGAAACUUGUGCUAAUACCGUAUGGGCCCUUCGGGGGAAAGAUUUAUCGCCAUUGGAGCAGCCCGCGUUGGAUUAGGUAGUUGGUGAGGUAAAGGCUCACCAAGCCUACGAUCCAUAGCUGGUCUGAGAGGAUGACCAGCCACACUGGGACUGAGACACGGCCCAGACUCCUACGGGAGGCAGCAGUAGGGAAUCUUGCGCAAUGGGCGAAAGCCUGACGCAGCCAUGCCGCGUGUAUGAUGAAGGUCUUAAGAUUGUAAAAUACUUUCACCGGGGAAGAUAAUGACGGUACCCGGAGAAGAAGCCCCGGCUAACUUCGUGCCAGCCGCCGCGGUAAAAC
rnacentral:rRNA from 1 species